rnacentral:rRNA from 1 species
ACGACCGGCGCACGGGUGAGUAACGCGUAUACAGUUUGCCUUUUACUUAGGGAUAGCCCAGAGAAAUUUGGAUUAAUACCUUAUGGUAUUAUUGAUUGGCAUCGAUCGGUAAUUAAAGCUUCGGCGGUAAAAGAUGAGUAUGCGUUCUAUUAGCUAGAUGGUAAGGUAACGGCUUACCAUGGCAACGAUAGAUAGGGGCCCUGAGAGGGGGAUCCCCCACACUGGUACUGAGACACGGACCAG